GACGGAGGGUGCUAUCGUUGUUCGGAAUGACUGGGCGUAAAGGGCGCGUAGGCGGCUUGGUCAGUCGGGUGUGAAAGCCCGGGGCUCAACCCCGGAACGGCAUCCGAUACGGCCAGGCUGGAGACCGGGAGAGGAGGGUGGAAUACCCAGUGUAGAGGUGAAAUUCGUAGAUAUUGGGUGGAACACCGGUGGCGAAAGCGGCUCUCUGGCCCGGAUCUGACGCUGAGGCGCGAAAGCGUGGGGAGAAAACAGG
rnacentral:rRNA from 1 species